ACCUGUAGGAAUGGAAAUGCAAAGCACGGCAUUCACCCCAUUAACAUGCUAAUUCAUUUGGCAGGAACUGAAAAAGUAGUUUCAACUAUUUUAUUUGCAUGUCCGUGCUAGUCUGUUACAGAACCUGUUAAGCCACCAUGCCCAUGGCAUAGUUUAACAACCCUGGAGGGAGCAUCAGCCUUAGGGUUCGUGGGAUGUCCCACCACGUACAGCAUGGGAGUAGCAUAGGUCAAAGAUAAAUUUCAAGAGCUUCAGAGCUUCCCGCUCUUCAAAGGCUUUCUGCAAUAAAAGUUUCCAGCAGAAGAGCAUAUGUGGAAUAACAAAGCUCAGUAAAAACCAACGAAAUGAAAAGAAAGGUGACAGCCAGGAAUCCUAAAUCAAAGAAAGAAAUGCUGUGAACAGGAUGCAGCUUUCUGAAGUGCUUAGAAAUGGAAAGAUGCUUUUGGAAACCAUGCUGAACUGAAGACCUAGACUGAGAUUCCCAAAUUCUAAUAAAAAUAUGGCACAGCAAAGUGCUGGCUAAAUGAUGCCUAAGCAGUCACACACAUUGUCCUGGCCUGUACUGAAAGCUGUUGCUACUGCAACUUCUGCUACCACUACCAGCAGUGACUACAACUAUAGUGAGCAAGAGGCAUAUAAGAACCACUGAUCUGGAUGAUUUUACUUCAUCUGAAAACUGAGGUAAUGUGUUUUUACAUUUCUCUAAGAAAAACAGGAGUGCACUAAGGAGCAGAAAGUAUCUGCAGAGCUGAUUGGAGCAAUGUAAGGUAUGUAGUGGAAAGAGAAUUAAGCAGUGUUAAUUGGGUAAAAAUAGAACAGGACACCAUAAUCUAAACAUAAAAUCAUAUUUAAUGUGUUGCAUUUGGUGCUUUAUUUACCCAUUCUCCUAGUAAAUACAGCAAGACUAAAAUGCUAAGCAGAAAUAGCACUGUUGAAAAAAAUAAUGGAGGAGAGCUGCAUGGUACUGGGAGAGAAACAUUCAAGACCCAGAAAUACCAAUGUGUUAAAGAAUUUAAAGGGAUAAAAAAAGUUUUUUUAUUAAUUUCUGAUCACCUUUGCUUAAUAUUAAUAAUAAUAACACUUAAGGAAAAUAAAAAAGUGCAUGAAGCAGCUAGCAGUGGCCAUUUUAAAAUACUGCUUGCCCAAUCACUCAAGCUGUUGAAUUACUCAACUCCUACUGAAAUAAAUAGGAACUGCUGCUGCUGAGCCUUGUUAUAAAUGAGGCCACUUUAGGAAUUAUGGAAUAGCUAAUCUAUAACAAGUAAUUGUUAGGGAGUUGUAAAUUCAGAUGUUUAUUGUUAAGUGGGCGGCUGAGUCUUGGCCACAUUUUACCAGUUUUGCUAUACCCUUUAUUUUUUUAGUUGAAGCAUGCAUCUUAUUUCUAUAAUUACUUUCUCAAGGACUUCUGAAAAAUUAAUUCUCAAAAGCUUUAGAAUAUUCUGAUGACACAGGUAAUCUGAAACAAUGCAUUUAAGCAAAGAGAAUUAGUAGUGAACAGGUUACUGGAAAGAAUAACAACUUAAGUCAUCUAGAAAUAAUACUCACAAAAGUAUUAUUGCAUAAACUUCCUUUUCUAAACUGCCUUUUAAUUCUCAGAAGAACACGGUGAGCACAUUCCCUGUGCUGUGGGCUAUAAAAGAAUAAUUCAAAUUUUAGGCCAUCCAGUACCAAAUCAAAACCACUAUGGUCUAAUAAUUCAAAGCAUUACAUCAGUCUAAACUCAAGCUGCCAGUACAAAUUUACUCUAAGGGUUUCUUCAAUAAUUUGUUGGAUAUGUACGUGCCAACUCUCUGUCUGUGAUUCUGCUAUUCUGUGCCUGACUGGACCUUCAUAGUAAUCCCUGACUUUUCUUUUUGUUAGUUACUACUUCUUGUCUUCCCCACUUUCUGUGCUCUGGUGUAUCAUUUGUCCCUACCCUAGUCCUCUUUCAGAAGGAUGUUCACAGGUCAUUCACCCAACUCUUUUGAUGCUCUUUGCCUCAGACAUUCAUUUGUUGAAGUAUUCUAAAACUUGUGGCCUCCUUCUCUUUUUGCCUUUGACCUUAGCAUAAACCACGUGGGUACACUGGCCACACUUCAAUUACAUGCUCUGCCUUGGUGGAGGUUGAGCCAUCUGCCUGUCUUGGGUAUUGCUUGAGACUUUUCUCUUCUUGGGUUACCACAAGAACCACACAACUCCCUUCUGAGAGAGGGAAUGCAACACCCUGACCUAGUCAUCAUUGAUUCUACUUAAAACUGGUGAUACUAUGAAGCUGUACAGAAAAGCUUGCCCUUUCUAUUUCCUCCUCAUAAUAAGUCAAAACAUUAUGUGUCAGAGGUGGUAGAAUUUUAGCUCAAGAGAGCAAAGUACCAUUUAUUUAGACAUUUCCUAGAAUAGUGGGCUUCUCUGCUGUCUACAUCACUCAUCACUUUUCCCCACAGAUUCAACAUAUCCACACGUGCCUUGUAUAGAAAAAACUCCACCUUCCUGUCAUUCCAGGAAUGACUAGACAUGACCUUCUGCUAUUAGGAAGCAGUGUUGAUACUCACUCAAAAUCUAUAAUGGAUUUCUGUCUGGGAGACUGGAGAAAUACACUGGUGAUAGAUACCUUCAAUGAGCCAGAAGAGUCUUGCUGGGUAAAAAUGAACUGCCACUCACAUAUUCUUGCCCAAACAGUCUUGUUUGAGUGAAGUGCUAGGAAAAAACUUGCAUGUUUUAGUCAAAAGAAAAUUCCACUUUGGAAACAGAGAGCUCCUUUACAGAGGGGCUGGGAUAGAGGGACAGUAAAAAAGGAAUAUGUGGCUAAUAUCAGAAAAGCUUCUCAAGGAAAGCCUAGCAUGCUUUGCAGUAUUCAUCACCCUGAGCUCAAGGGAGCACCUUUCUGAAUGGCAUGGCAUGCCCAAACGUUGCUGGCUGUUUACAUUCUCCACACUGAUUAACAAUGCCAUAAUGCAGUUGGUAAUUCCCAACCUCCAAAUCUCAGCAAUCUCCUCUCAGCUCAGUAUAACUGCUGAGUUGGCCACUGCUAUCUCAUGUAUGUUCAGCGCAGAUCUCAAAAUACAUCACCUUCUCCAUUCUGUGGUUUUUUCCAUUGUUUUUGUCCCUCCAGGCAUUUGCAUCUUUUCCAACUGCCACCAGCUCUUCUAAAAGACUCAGUGUUAAUAGCAUGGAUAGUAAUUCUACUGAUGUUGAGAAUUCCUCCCAGUAUGGCCAGCUCAGCUUCUGCUGCUUCACCUCUGCAUGCAACUUCUCUUGCUGUGUGUGGUCACUGCACAUGGGAGCUUUGUCCUAUAUAAGGAAUUUUGAUACAAAUAUAUUUAAUUUCUAUGAUCAGCCUCUGCCAAAGCAACAACUUUGUUCAUGCUGCUCAGUGAAAGUGUGUCACAAUUUAAGAUUGAGCUGACAGUGAGGAGACUGGGUGGACUUGGAUACUAAAGCCCUUCUAGUCACAGAUAAAUAUUUAAAGUUUACAAGUGACUCAACUUCCCUGUUCUGUGUGAGAGACUGCAAAUCAGGCGAGAGGCCAAGCAUGUCAGGACGAUGGUCUCUAACCCAGCCUGCUUCUCCUGCAGCAGGGAGGUGGUGCCAUCCAGGAGGAAAUCAGUACAGCCAUGGGAUGGGCAGUCCAGGAUGCAGCCCAGGGGGACCUGUAGCUAACCCUAGGGAUUCUGAGGGACCUCUUUCCCAGCAACAACCUGGCAGUAGCAUUCACAACAUGCUCCACUUGAGUUUUCCACACCUCUGCCAACAGCUCAGCACUUAACAGGGAUCUCUUAAAAUGUGAUGAGCAACCUCAUUUCACUGCUUCACCUCUGCAGCCCACAGAAGCAGCUGCUUUUAGUCUCUUGAGAACUUUGUCCCACAAUCCUACAUGACUAGCAAUGCAACCACUCAGCAUACACAUGUAAGUAUUAGGGAUAAAACCAACAUCAACAAUAGGCCAGUAACACGCUGUGCAGCUAGUGUAGCAUAGGAUGAGAAUUAAAUAAAAUCCAACCUGGACGAAGUAAUUUCAAAGACUAAAGAAAAUGCUUGAGGGAACAUCAGCAUUUCCUCAUAAAUCUGCUCCAGUGUGACACAGACAGAACAUGUCUGCCCAUGCACGUUCAAAGACCAGUAGCUGCCAAGAAGAAACUCCCUCUGUCUCUCUCUAAUGUAUAUGGAAUUGGCUGCCUUCAAGUGAGAUUGCUAUCUUCUCCUUGGCUCACAUUGCAAAAGGCACAAUUCCCACACUAAGGACAAUGUAUUUACUAAACAACUGGAGCUAAUGAAAACAUGGUACACGAAUGUUUGGGACUUGCUCUUUUUCUGCUGAAUACAAUGAUGGUCCUCCACCGAUAUAAAAGGCUUUGAACAGAUGCACUCCUUCUGUUUUCACUGAUCCACACAAUAUUCAUUGCAGCAGUUUGCUGUACGUGAUUCAUUUUAAUGGGUCC